GGAAGUGGGCAACGGUAGGUCAGCAUGCCCGAACUUAUCCGGGCGUACACGCGGGCUACAAUGGUCAGGACAAUGGGUAGUCGACACCGAGAGGUGGAGGCAAUCUCCUAAACCUGUCCUUAGUUCGGAUUGUGGGCUGCAACUCGCCCACAUGAAGCUGGAAUCCGUAGUAAUCGCGUUUCAAAAUAGCGCGGUGAAUAUGUCCCUGCUCCUU
rnacentral:rRNA from 1 species